UUGAACGCUGGCGGCAGGCCUAACACAUGCAAGUCGAGCGGAUGAAGGGAGCUUGCUCCUGGCUUCAGCGGCGGACGGGUGAGUAAUGCCUAGGAAUCUGCCUGGUAGUGGGGGAUAACGUCCGGAAACGGGCGCUAAUACCGCAUACGUCCUGAGGGAGAAAGUGGGGGAUCUUCGGACCUCACGCUAUCAGCUGAGCCUAGGUCGGAUUAGCUAGUUGGUGGGGUAAAGGCCUACCAAGGCGACGAUCCGUAACUGGUCUGAGAGGAUGAUCAGUCACACUGGAACUGAGACACGGUCCAGACUCCUACGGGAGGCAGCAGUGGGGAAUAUUGGACAAUGGGCGAAAGCCUGAUCCAGCCAUGCCGCGUGUGUGAAGAAGGUCUUCGGAUUGUAAAGCACUUUAAGUUGGGAGGAAGGGCAGUAAGUUAAUACCUUGCUGUUUUGACGUUACCAACAGAAUAAGCACCGGCUAACUUCGUG
rnacentral:rRNA from 1 species